AAGAAGUCUCAAAAUGAAGGCCAUUCUCAUUGUCUGCCUUCUCUUGGCUUCCAUAUUUUUCAUUCCUUCUUCAAAUGCAGCAUCAGAAAAGUGUAAUCCAUAUAUUCGUGCUUGUCACUCGAAGCCGCCAGCUCAACCCUUGAAGCCAGUUGCUCCACCGUUGAAGCCGCCAACUCCACCAACGCCAGGUCCACCCUAUAGGAGGCCAAGUCCGCCAUUCAAUAGGCCACCUCGAUCUGGAUGUAACCGAUAUAACCGUUGCCCACCUUCAACCCCUUAAGAAAUGAAGCACCAUGGUUCAAUAAUAAUAAUUAAGCAUUAGGUUGCUUAUUAUCGUGGAGAGAAGUUAAGAAUAAAGUGGGUUUUAUGUGAUAUAUGGUUAGGGCUUUAUGAUGCCUCUUAUAAUUAGUUCCUAGUUAUGUAUUAUGCUCGAUCUCCAUAAUAAUAGUAUAUUAUAAAGUGUGCAAAAUAAAAGAGUGGACUAAUCUGUUGGUGGCUUA